rnacentral:rRNA from 1 species
UACGAAGGGGGCUAGCGUUGCUCGGAAUCACUGGGCGUAAAGGGUGCGUAGGCGGGUCUUUAAGUCAGGGGUGAAAUCCUGGAGCUCAACUCCAGAACUGCCUUUGAUACUGAGGGUCUUGAGUACGGGAGAGGUGAGUGGAACUGCGAGUGUAGAGGUGAAAUUCGUAGAUAUUCGCAAGAACACCAGUGGCGAAGGCGGCUCACUGGCCCGUAACUGACGCUGAGGCACGAAAGCGUGGGGAGCAAACAGG